rnacentral:rRNA from 1 species
GACGAACGCUGGCGGCGUGCUUAACACAUGCAAGUCGAACGGAAAGGCCCUGCUUGCAGGGUGCUCGAGUGGCGAACGGGUGAGUAACACGUGGGUGAUCUGCCCCUUACUUUGGGAUAAGCCUGGGAAACUGGGUCUAAUACUGGAUAGGACCAUGCUGUAGGUGGUGUGGUGGAAAGAUUAGUUUCGGUAAGGGAUGAGCUCGCGGCCUAUCAGCUUGUUGGUGGGGUAAUGGCCUACCAAGGCGUCGACGGGUAGCCGGCCUGAGAGGGUGGACGGCCACAUUGGGACUGAGAUACGGCCCAGACGCCUACGGGAGGCAGCAGUGGGGAAUAUUGCACAAUGGGCGCAAGCCGGAUGCAGCGACGCCGCGUGGGGGAUGACGGCCUUCGGGUUGUAAACUCCUUUCAGCCAUGACGAAGCCCUUGUGGUGACGGUAGUGGUAGAAGAAGCACCGGCUAACUACGUG